GAGGCUGAGCCCAGUGACGCGGCGGUGACGUCACGGCCACACGGCGGGAACGUGACGUCACCGCCACCCGUCAUGGCGGCGCCCUGUGUGGUGCCCUGAGUGUGUCCGCUCCUCGCCCCGCACGCCGCGCCGCUCCGCACCAUGAGGAGGGGCCGCAUAGAGCUCGGGGAUGUGACACCCCACAACAUCAAGCAGCUGAAGCUUCUCAACCAGGUGGUGUUCCCCGUCAGCUACAAUGACAAGUUCUACAAAGACGUGCUGGAGGCAGGGGAGCUGGCCAAGCUGGCCUACUACAAUGACAUGGUAGUGGGAGGCGUGUGCUGCCGCGUGGACAUGCAGGAGGGCCAGCGGCGCCUCUACAUCAUGACGCUGGGCUGCCUGGCGCCCUACAGACGCCUGGGCAUUGGCACCAAGAUGCUGGAGCAUGUACUCAACUUUGUGGAGAAGGAGGGCAACUUCAACUCCAUCUUCCUACACGUGCAGGUCAACAAUGACGGGGCGUUGGACUUUUACAAGAAGUUCGGCUUUGAGGUGGUGGAGACCAAGCAACACUACUACAAGAGGAUCGAACCCGCUGACGCCCACGUCCUCCAGAAAACACUCGUGCGCUCCUGAGUGUCUGUCCUGGCCACCACUGCACCACCACCACCACCACCCAGGACUAUGGUGCCACUCCUCCAGGUCUUGUACCUCGACCCAAUGUGAUUAUGUUCGUGUUCAUAUUCCACUCAAGUUUCCCCGAGCCGCUGUUUCCCUGAUGCGAGUAGCGACUUUAAUGGUCUGCACGAAGGUGGGACUUGCCAGGCUGCUUCAGUGUAGGCAGCAGCACUGGGCUUGUUGGUCCUUCUCAGACUUAGGGACUAGUAAGCACAGUUCUGCCCCUCAUAGAAAUAAGUCUCAUGUUCCCCACUGGUGCACACAUCCUAGUAGUGUUUGUAUGACUGAGUGGCAGUGGUGGUGGUGGUGGUGGAGAGUCAUCACCCCUCCUUCCACACCACCACCAUCAAGGAUGUUGCUGAUGGAUCCACUGCAGUGUAUUCCAGCAAGUUGAGAAUACAUCAUGCAUACCAACAUACAUACAUACAUGCAUACCUUAGCCGUGAUUUUUGUACAUACAUCGUGUGUGUGCGUGUGUGUGUGUUUGUGUGUGCGUGUGUGUGUGCGUGCCUGUGUUGGUGUAUGUAUGUAGUUAGUUAAUCAUUUGUACAUAUAUGCAUACACUAACACACUCAUGCACUAACCAGUACCACUAUUAUGCAAAUAAAUGGAUUAACUGUUACUGGGCACGGAGGAAAGUCUUGAUCCGGGCCACUGUUUUGUUUGUGGGUCUACAGGGACGGGUGGCCGGCCUGGCAGCCUCGUGCUCAGCGGCGCCAACGCUCCACCGAUGGGAGGCUGUUUGGGUCACAGUUGAGUGUUGUUUUAUUUGUAGGAAGGAAAGGGAGUUACAGGGACUGAUUUUUUGCAUGGCAGGUUUUAUGUUUGAUGAUGUUUAUGGCCCACUGAAGGAGAUUUUUGUGUCUAAAGGGCCGUCACACUGGGCAAAGUUGAUGAGCAGUGAGCUUGGCUGGCGGGCAUUUGCCUGCUGGAUGUCCUGCUCAAGAGGUGUGGCAGCCAUUUUGGGGUUUUUGGUUGGGUUGUCUAGAUUGGGAAUGGCUCAGUCAACAUUUAGAAUGAUACAUUUAUUGAAUGCAGAUGCAUAUAAUAUUGUACUUGUAACUCACUCCAAGAACAAUGUUUUUGGUUAAAGUCAUAUUUGUUUUCUAUUUGUUGACUGCAGUCUCAGUAAAGACAAGCCAUGGUUCCCUUUACAACCAAGAGUAAUGCAAGCAUAUGAGUCCUGUGGAACUCCAGUGCCAUACCGUGUCAUGGCAAGGGUGAGGGACCAGGGUGGAAGGAAGCGUCACCCUUCAUCCCUCAAGGGUGUUGUAGGCACCUCUGGGUGUCCGCUCUCAGCAGCCAGGACUGAACCCUCACACAUUUGAGGCAUCCACAGAAGGGGUGUGAGGGACAAAGCCAUUUUCUUCUAGUUUGCACUGGGAAAGGCAGGCCAGGCCACACAUCCCAGGAAGAACAAGAAACAGAUUGCAAGGGAAAAGUGACCUUGUAUCUGGUGUACUGAGGGUUACUUUUCCCUUGCAACUUCUACCUUGUUCUUCUUGAGAUGUGUAGCCUGGCCUGCCUUUCCCAGUGUAUAACAGAAAAAUAUGGCUUUGCCCCCCAAGCUCCUCCUCCUCCGGACUCCUCAUUUGCCCUCCACAGGUCCUGCAGGCCAAGGCAGGGUUGCAGCAGCUGCUUGCCUCACUGCAGGUACUAGAGUGGAGGGAAGAGAUGCCAUGGUGAGGACUUUCUUUACAUCUGUCUUUGCUUGGCACUCGUGGUUCAUCAAAGUGUGAGGACACGGUAGACCUGCUUGAGCCUGUAGCUUGUCAAAUUUUGCCAAGUGUGAUGCUGCCUAAAGUAUAGAUUAUUUGAGUCCCAGUUGCAUGUGUUUGUGCACUGAUGGAACACUGGCAUGCAAGGGAGGGGCAGGAUGAACAGCUUUUAGCAUUGUUGUUAUCUGAGCUUCUAUUCUUUGUUUUGAAUAGUUUUGUGUUUUGUCCAUCACCUGAUGCCAUCAUCAAGCUGUGUGUUGCCAGCUGGACCUGUGUUUGUUGUUCUGUGAUGACUCGGAGCAAAGGAACCAAAGAACUGGAGAAAAGAAAUCAAGGCAAGGUAGAUUAUUCAGCACUGUUGUAAGCUUGAAUCUUGCACAGGACAAACAGGUGCUUGGUGGAAUACACAGAAAGAAAUUGUAAUUGGAAUUAAAAAAAAAAAUGUGUUGGAAGUUGAUGUAAUUGUAAUGGAGAAUAAAAAGCUUAAGGAAAGUUUCAUAAUACAA